GACGAACGCUGGCGGCGUGCUUAACACAUGCAAGUCGAACGGUGAAGCGCUUGCCUUUUUGGUGGGUGUGGAUGAGUGGCGAACGGGUGAGUAACACGUGAGUAACCUGCCCUCUUCUUCUGGAUAACCUCAUGAAAGUGGGGCUAAUACGGGGUAUUCCGGGUCUGUCGCAUGGCGGGUUUGGGAAAGAUUGCGCCUUUGGGUGUUUUCGGUGGGGGAUGGGCUCGCGGCCUAUCAGCUUGUUGGUGGGGUGGUGGCCUACCAAGGCGGUGACGGGUAGCCGGCCUGAGAGGGUGGACGGCCACACUGGGACUGAGACACGGCCCAGACUCCUGCGGGAGGCAGCAGUGGGGAAUAUUGCACAAUGGGCGCAAGCCUGAUGCAGCGACGCCGCGUGAGGGAUGGAGGCCUUCGGGUUGUGAACCUCUUUCGCCAGUGAAGCAGGCCUGCUCCUGUGUGGGUGGGUUGACGGUAGCUGGAUAAGAAGCGCCGGCUAACUACGUG
rnacentral:rRNA from 1 species